ACUGGUUUAAAACAACAAAGCUUUGUUUUCGCUUAUAUGCGGUUAUUGAAGUUGAGUCCUUUAGAUAGUUUUUGUGUAAAUAUGCAAUGUUUUAACAUGUUCUUAAAUCUAUUUGUGUUAAAUUGGUUAAUCGACAUUUUCCCAGUCGCAAUGUUGGGAAUUUGAGUAAAGGAUCUGAUUAAGAUUGGUCACCGGCAUUGGUCUCUGUCACAAGAAAGCUUUACAAAACCUCGAAAGUCAAAAUCUGACUAAAAUAAUUUUAUAUUGUUUUUACGACAUAGCAUACAUGUACAAGGAUCGGUUUUAAGAACUUUACUUUGAAUAAUGAUUUGAUAGUGUCCAAAUGGUCACUACACUAUGUUGUACAUAAAAUUUAAUUUCAAUUUAGGUGGCGAUAUUUUAAUUGUUUAAAAUAAUAACUGAUCACAGGGGAAAAAUCACAGGGACUGAGCAAAUACGCGAACCUUUCUGGUUUUGUAUAAAAAUAAAACAUAAUCAAAAUAUAUUUAUUUUGUGGUUUUUCUAACAACAGCGCAGACUUUUGCUGUUCGAGUUUUGGUUAACGCGUAUUUUCUUCAAUUUUACAAGACGAUAGCGAUUACACGGUUUAUUGCUUUAUUGAUAACCGUUACACUACAGUCACUUAUUAAGGCAGUAGGUGCCUAGUGAGAUCGGGAAUAGUCAGUCGAUAUCGCCGUAUUCGGAAAGCAUUUCGGCUUUAAGCGAUAUCUACGGUAAAGUCCGGAAAUAAUACUAAAUACACAAAAUAAAUUUGUAUUUUUUUAUUUAAGAGUUUAAUUUGCUUAUCUCUUUAAGAUUUAAUAACUAUACAAUAUAAAUAUAAGUUAAAUUAAUUCGUUUCAUAAAAUAUUUGUGUCCAUGACGUCACGAUUGUUGACAUUUUCUUAGCAAAAUGAAAGUGCGAAAUAAUAGCGAGCGAUUUGCAAAAUCGAAAAAGAAGCAAACACCGAUCGAUAAUGUCAACUGCGUCGUCUAGUAAGGCUGCCAUUGAUGCUUAUGAGAAAGAAAUGGAUUCGAGGUACAGUAAUGCCUGAUGUUACUUAGAUUGCUGCUGUGCGUUUGAAGACGGGUUUUAAGUUCUUGACAUAUGCGAAGACAACAGUGCCAAUUUCUUCCGAAGCUCAGAAAGUGAUUGGCAUCUCUGUUGAUCAUGGCAUAAUGCGUGUAAAUGGUGGAAGUGUUGAUAGUCUAUCAAUUAAAACUUCUCUACAUGAUUGUAUGAUGUGGCUUGCAAAGUUUCCCAGAGCCAUUUGUGUUGCUCAUUAUGGGCGCAGGUUUGAUUUUCCGGUUUUGGUUAGUGCAUUGCUGAACACACACUGCAUUGCAACGUUUGUAAUUGUGUAAGCAGUUUUGUUUACUCUUUGCCGGUUUUCAAACAUCGUAUCCUUGACAGUCACACAAACAGGAAGAUCUAGUGAACGUGUUCUCCAGGCAACCUGCAAGGCCCACAGUGAUCCUGAUGAUGUUGAAGCACUGGGAUCUUUGCUAAAACAUGUUAAAUUACUGACAAUAUGGCCCACAUCUUUACUGUUACUGCAAUCCAUAAUUCAGUUUGUUUAAGUCGUGAAAAGCCCUAAAGGCAAAGAACAUUAGAUUGUUAGAAGUGCUGUUGCAUAGAGGAACUCUAAAGCGACAAACAGCUGAAAACAUUGCGGGAUAUGGACUUACCUUGUGUUAUUUGAAAGCCAUAUUUACUAGUUCCGGAAAUGAUGACUUAAGGGAUACUUUCAUUGCUAAAAACAAUGAGGGACUACCAAAAUUCACAAACGCAAAAACAUAUUUUAUCUGAAGUGGUCCCUAAAAUCGGUCAGUUUUUCAGUGACGAAAAGUCACGGAACGAGAUAAUAUGGCUAUCAAAUGACACGCAGCAAGUCAAAAUCACGCAAUGGCUGUAUACUGAUACUAAAUUAUGUACAUCUGGUUGUCAUUAAUCUGGAUGUUUUUAUUAAAAUAUAAGUUGUAUAUUAUUGUGCUACAUGAUUAGAGAAACAUGAUAACUUA